CAUCAUUAUCACCAUCGAACAUGCUGAUUUAAGGUAUCUCCUUGUAAACGGGUUGGGUGUUUCACGGUUUUCUUCAAUAGUUCAGGUAAGUAAUUAAGGGUUUUUGUUUUUGUUUGUUGCAAUUUAACUUGCACUAAAAAUUUUUCACCUAACUUUCCCAAUCCAGGUUUCUUUCUGUCCUGUAGAACGAUCUCGGUCACCUGUAACUCAAGAACACAGGAGAAACCUCAACUAUUUCAGUUUGUUCCAAAUUAAAAGCAGGUCAAGGCAGCACACCAACUUCUCAAGACUAUUCCACAUAGCUAUGGGAGCAGGAGGGUUGAUGGAGUUCCUGUUUUC